rnacentral:rRNA from 1 species
GGGGAAUAUUGCGCAAUGGGGGAAACCCUGACGCAGCAACGCCGCGUGGGUGAUGAAGGUUUUCGGAUCGUAAAACCCUGUUUUCUGGGACGAUAAUGACGGUACCAGAUGAGGAAGCCGCGGCUAACUACGUGCCAGCAGCCGCGGUAAUACGUAGGUGGCAAGCGUUGUCCGGAUUUACUGGGCGUAAAGGGUGCGUAGGCGGAUGCUUAAGUGAGAUGUGAAAUACCUAGGCUUAACUUAGGGGCUGCAUUUCAAACUGGGCAUCUAGAGUACAGGAGAGGGAAACGGAAUUCCUAGUGUAGCGGUGAAAUGCGUAGAGAUUAGGAAGAACACCAGUGGCGAAGGCGGUUUCCUGGACUGUAACUGACGCUGAGGCACGAAAGCGUGGGUAGCAAAC